GUGGGGAAUCUUGCGCAAUGGGCGAAAGCCUGACGCAGCCAUGCCGCGUGAAUGAUGAAGGUCUUAGGAUUGUAAAAUUCUUUCACCGGGGACGAUAAUGACGGUACCCGGAGAAGAAGCUCCGGCUAACUUCGUGCCAGCAGCCGCGGUAAUACGAAGGGGGCUAGCGUUGCUCGGAAUUACUGGGCGUAAAGGGCGCGUAGGCGGACAGCGUAGUCAGAGGUGAAAGCCCAGGGCUCAACCUUGGAAUUGCAUUUGAUACUGGCUGUCUUGAGUUUGGGAGAGGUGAGUGGAACUCCGAGUGUAGAGGUGAAAUUCGUAGAUAUUCGGAAGAACACCAGUGGCGAAGGCGACUCACUGGCCCAAUACUGACGCUGAGGCGCGAAAGCGUGGGGAGCAAACAGGAUUAGAUACCCGUGUAGUCC
rnacentral:rRNA from 1 species